rnacentral:rRNA from 1 species
GAGGUUUCAUUUGAGGUCCCCCAAAGACGAUGGGGUUGAUAGGCCAGACCUGGACGCACCGCAAGGUGUGAAGGCUACUGGUACUAAUAGACCAAAACAAACACACAC